CACCGCCCGUCACACCAUGGGAGUUGGUUUCACCCGAAGGCUGUGCGCUAACCCGCAAGGGAGGCAGCGGCCCAAGGUAUGAUUCAUGAUUGGGGUG
rnacentral:rRNA from 1 species